AGGAGUCAGAGGACUUGAGUGACAGCCAUCCCGCUAUCGUCCCUCUGAAAGAUGCUCCACCAAUCACAGAAGUUAAAAGCCCCGCCCUUAACUACAUCACUGUCCACUACUCCAAGUUGUCCAGCGUGGACCAGGUGCAGAUCCACAACCUGCCACUGGGGGGUGAGAGGAAGCCCAAGGACUCCCCCAACGUCGUUUACACUUUACUGCAGCAGCCUCUCCGCUGACUGGGAGCAACAAAGAGGAAAAUCAGAUGUUUCCUUUCUUCUUCCUCAGCUGUACAACACUUCUUCAUGUGAAGGCUCAGUACUUCACAUUCACAUCGUAGGACACACCCGUGGUGAACUCUGAUGAUACCUAAACUGUUCUGGGUCAGACGUGUCCUCAUGGAUCCUCUGCAGUUCACUAACAUGGUGCACACUGGGAGUCCAGAUCCUGACCGUGUUGCAUGUCUUUGCCUUUUUUCUAUGCAUCUUCCCACUGUAUGCUGCCUGAUGAAGCAGAACUCAGACUGCUUGCAUCCAUAUCCACAGUAUAUAUGUACCGUUGCUAGCGUUGAUUUUGCAUCCUGGCUCUGACCAAUGAAAAGUCAAAACAAUGUGUAUUCAAACAUACGAAAACAAUUAUACUUCAAUACAUAUUAUUGGAAGAAACCUGUUGAAAAGGAUUCGACAUCUAUACACAAUAUGUAAUAUUUGACACAUAUGCAUUUCCACAUUGUAUUCAACCAUGUUCUAAAUGUAACAGGCUUAUUUGUUUGCUAAUGCUGCAACACCUAUUCAGUUGAUAUAGAUUGCUUCCAUUGAAUCAGUCUCAAUGACAGAAAUAAUGUACAAUUACAUUCACUUUGUUACACUGUAGAACAAAUCUAUUACUCUUUUAUUUUAGGUGUAUGUUGCAAUGGCUGCAGUUAAUAAACAGUCAACAGCACUGAUGACUAAUGCAAGGGUUAAAGGUUAGGUAUGAAUCUCAAUCAUUAAAAUGAAUACAUUAUUUCAUUUCAUUCUAACAUUCAUUCAAUCGACCAUGUAUGCCAUGCCAACUUAAUUAACUUAGUUUUGAUUUUUAAUAAAAGUAAUUACAGCCAAUGUUAUCUGUUUUUGGUAUGCAAAACAUUUACAAUAAGACAUGCAGUCCUGACAGUGAUCAUAUUUGGUUAUUAAGCAUUGCUAACCAAGAAACAUUGAGGCAAUAAAGUCAUGUUAUCAAAAGACACAAGAAUGCACUUUCACUUUAUUCUGUGAAAAGUCCACAGCAUUAAUAUCACAUUGGAAAAGUUCUCUUUCGCCUGCUUCCUCAUUUCUUUUUCUCUUUCCAUUUCUUUUUGGUUUCUAAUUUACACCUGCCAUUAAU